UGUAACGCAAAUCUUUCAAAAUGGGAAAGUUGGCUGUGAUAUGGAUUCUGAUUUUAUUUCUAGCUUAUAUUGAUGCAGGUAUGUAUACAAAUAUUGUUGUAGUAUAUAUUAUAUGUACAUAUAUAUUUUGUACACACACAAAAAAUAUCUAAAGUAAAUAUAAAAAAAAAUGUGGAAACGCGAUAGGACAAUUUCACUGUGUCUAAACUAUCACGGCAAAACAUGUUUGGACUCAAAAGUAUCUAAUAUCCGGUAUGGUGACGAACUACCAGUAGACAGAAAAAAAGAAGGAAUUUCUGGAUAUUAUUUUGUUAUUUUAAUGAUAUUGAAGACUAUUUAUACGCAUAUAACUAUGUUCGUUGAAAUGUAAGUUUUUCUACAAUCGAUUAUGAUCAACGGCGAAAUAAGUAAACAGGAACGUCAAAAUGUAGAUUGAGUGAACCUUGCUACGAAUUUUUUAAAUUUCUCAUUAAUUUUUGGACAUUGUACGGAAAGUAAUGUACGGAAUUAAAGGUAUAAACACAGAGAUUGCUAGAUUAGUCACGUUAAGUACAUCAAUAUUUGUAUUAAUGUGCAUGGAACGAAAGAAAUAGGUUAUGUCAAAUUCGAAGGACCCGGUUUUGUCAAUAUGUACGACCCAGUUUUGUCCUAAAUUGUCACAAAGCAUGACCCACUUUUGUCAUAGAAAAUUAUUGCAUAAUCGUUAGGAGUAGAUUAAAAUCCGUCGUUCAGAUGACAACUUAUUUUGUAUUUGAAUCCGGAAAAACUUGAGUUCCUGCUUUAUUGAAAAAGAAAUUUUUUGCUUUGUAUAAAAACAAAUAAUUUUACGGCGA
rnacentral:lncRNA from 1 species